GGAACUGUAGCUCAAUGGCAGAACAUAUGCCUUGCAUGCAGGAGGUCCCAGGUUCAAUUCCCAGUAUCUCUA